CAGAGGACGCACUAUAUUAAGCCGGGCUGAUCCCAUGCGCAAAAAAAAAAGAAAGCUAAAAAUACCCGUUGGGAUCAUCUUCUCACGACUGCACACAGGGCGGCUCCUCCUGGCAUACACGCUAAUUGGGAGUCACCUUAACUGGAAGGCACCGGUACGCCUGGAGAGAAUAUUAAGGAUCAGUGUUAUUCUAUCAGAGGGCAGCAUGACGAUGGACACUACAAGAAACACAGAGAACCUCCUGCCAAGGGUAAUGUGCAGCAACAUACCAGGUGAUCAGCACAAGGUCUCUAAGUUCUGUGGGUUUUCCAGUAGCAUCCUUGGAACCUCAAAACGGUGGGUGUCUGACUUCUCAUAACUAAGGAAUACAGAAAGAAUAGCUCAACGACCUGUUCUUCGGAUCUACACUUCGACCUUAUGAAUGUUGUCAGCAUCUAAUAAAGUCUUCCCCUGAGUUUCAGUAAAGGGGUGCUCAUCUAGAAAAACUCUAGGGGGGGGGGGUCAUUUACCAAGAUCAGCGUUUUAUGGCGGUCUUAGAUUCCCCCCUACACUGCCGUAAGAUUUGGCUAAUUUAUGACAAGAUGCAUGCUUCAUCGUAAAUUAAGCGCAUCUACGGAAAUCCAUGCCCCUGGCGUAAAAACUACUCCAGCUCCUGGAUGGAGUUGUUUUUCGCCAAUAUUUACACCUGUUUCCAGGCGAAAAUGUUAGCAAAUAUGCUGG